GCGGAUGUGGCGGAAUUGGCAGACGCGCAGGCUUCAGGUGCCUGUGGGCUUUAAGCUCGUGGAGGUUCGAGUCCUCUCAUCCGCA
rnacentral:tRNA from 1 species